rnacentral:rRNA from 1 species
ACGAACGCUGGCGGCGUGCUUAACACCUGCAAGUCGCACGGAAAGGCCCUGCUUUUGUGGGGUGCUCGAGUGGCGAACGGGUGAGUAACACGUGAGUAACCUGCCCUUGACUUUGGGAUAACUUCAGGAAACUGGGGCUAAUACCGGAUAGGAGCUCCUGCUGCAUGGUGGGGGUUGGAAAGUUUCGGCGGUUGGGGAUGGACUCGCGGCUUAUCAGCUUGUUGGUGGGGUAGUGGCUUACCAAGGCUUUGACGGGUAGCCGGCCUGAGAGGGUGACCGGCCACAUUGGGACUGAGAUACGGCCCAGACUCCUACGGGAGGCAGCAGUGGGGAAUAUUGCACAAUGGGCGGAAGCCUGAUGCAGCAACGCCGCGUGCGGGAUGACGACCUUCGGGUUGUAAACCGCUUUCGCCUGUGACGAAGCGUGAGUGACGGUAAUGGGUAAAGAAGCACCGGCUAACUACGUG